GAGACCUCCCCUUUUCCGACCCGAUCCCUCCUCGGGGCAGCUCCGUUGAGCCCACCAUAUUGCUGUUCGAAGUGAUGUGGGUGACUUCAGGAGGGUUGGGUAUCAGUCAUCCUGCAAAGUCAUCAUUCCGUGCAACACGUCAUAUUGAUUUUCGCAGGUAAGCAAUUUUCAUAGAGUUAAACAAAAGGUAAGUCAUUCCUUGAAUUAAAUUAAACUUGUGAAGGAAACUUUUCUAAUUUGUGAUUUUCAUCUUCCAGAUGACAACCCUCUGAUUCACUUUUUACAAAAUAGGA